UGUUAGUAUGUGAUUAAGUGGAUUUUCAAGC
rnacentral:piRNA from 1 species